rnacentral:rRNA from 1 species
GUUGACCUCGGAUCAGGUAGGAAUACCCGCUGAACUUAAGCAUAUCAAUAAGCGGAGGAAAAGAAACCAACAGGGAUUGCCUCAGUAACGGCGAGUGAAGCGGCAACAGCUCAAAUUUG